CUUGACUCUCUUUUCUUAGUUCUUCUGCUUUUUUUUCCCCAUCUCCUUGUCUCUCUAGGGGUCAGUGAUUUUCAAAAUUUCCACCCAAACUACAAAUGCAUGGCAUAUUUAGAGCGAACUAUUGGAAACAUUUCUUCCCCAUAAGCUGCCAGUGACAUAUUGACCUGGGGAGAUCCAUGGCUUGACAAAGGAGCUGGAGAUUGCUGUGGGGUAAUCUAGAGAAGACAAAAGCUACAUUUAGUGCACUGGAAUGCAGUGAAAUAUGAAAGUUUUGAAGAUGCUGCAUUGGAGGAAAAUGGCUUGGCUGUGAUUGGAGUAUUUUUGAAGAUCCAAACGCUCCUGCUUUGCACUGAGCCUUAUCCCAGGAGAACAUCCCAGCUGUCGGGCAAAUCACAGGCAGCUUCCCCACUCAGCCAGCUCAAUGGAUGAAUGGAAAAUGCUGGGAGUAGCCGUUGAUAAAGCCACCCUUCAGUGAUGAAACUUUAAGGGCAAAGAUCUUGUAGGAACAGCUCUUAAUUAAUAGCAGAAGAGUUGAGAAGGGAAGGGGGAGGCCUGGAUAUCUUUGGAAGAAAAGGAAGAAAUAUUCCUGAGCACAAAAGAAUAACUUAGCAGACUCAUUGAAG
rnacentral:lncRNA from 1 species